rnacentral:tRNA from 1 species
GCCGGUGUGGCUCACUGGAUAGAGCAUCAGCCUGUGGACUGAAGGGUCCCGGGUUCAAUUCCGGUCAAGGGCA